ensembl:lncRNA
CACACAUUUCUGUUUCAUUUAAUCUUUUUGCAAAGCAAAAUUGUCAUCAUGUAAUCAUUUUAAGUUAACUGAAAGACAGAGAAAUAGAGACCGUGAACGUAAGAAAGAUAAAGAGAGAUAGAAAGAGACUCAGAAAGAGGCAGAGAGAAAGGAAGUGAGUGAAAUUCAGGCGUGUCUCUGUGAUUUAGGUAUAAAGAGAGCUUAGUGUGUAGUCAGGGUCCAGUACAUCAGUAUGGAGAAAGCUGUGUGGAUACUGGCUCUUCUGUGUCUGGAGGUCUGUCUGCUCUCCACAGAGGCCCAACCUGGAACAGACAGACUGACAGCUGCCCAAACCAACCAAGACAUGAAUUCAAGGAUUAAAAGAGAGGUGAGUGACCAGAGUGAAUGCCAGAAGAAGCCUAACAAACAAUGUCCCAACCACAUUGGAGUGUUUGGUCCUUUGUCAGACCAAGGAGAUUCUCCAGUACUUCCUCCUCAUCAACCUCGUCCAUUUCCUUCAACUCUGGAUUCAAGGAUUAAAAGAGAGGGGAGGGACCAGAGUGAACGCCAGAAGAAGCCUAACAACUACCCAGGAGUGUGGAGUCAUUUGGGAAGAGGCAACCAAUCACAAACAGAAACAUCCAAAGAGUUUGUAUAGAAAACAAAGCUUGAGGAAAGGAUCGUCUUUACAUGCAUAUAUACCACAUCGUAAUCUGAGGGGGGCCUGUAAGGACAGCUUGCACCCCGGCCCGGCAGCACCACGCUACACCAGUACAUCCACUGUAUUUGUGACAGCUGCGCCCUCUGCUGCUUCACCUCCCCCUGCAGCAGACAGACUCCAGCGUUCGACGUCACCGGCCUUCUGACACCACCGUCCAUCUCAUCAUGCAUUUCACCUGUGUCUUGUUUAGCGCACCUGGUUCUCAUCCUCAUCAUUCCCCCCAGUAUAUGUGUUCCCUCUGCUCCCCCUGUCUAUGUGUGUAAUUGUCUCUGUGUUACAAAGAGCAGUGUUGCGCUUCGCAUAUAUCACUCGAUUAUUAAAAGAUUCUACAAAAGUAUUACGCCGUUCUCCUGCUCCUCCUUGUUCCGCCCCGAAGACGUGACAGUGUUUGAAUAUCUAUUGUGGCAGGUGACGGGGAG